GGAUGGGCUGAUGGUGUAGGGGUUAAGCACGCGACCAUAUACAGAGGCUAAAGUCCUCGAAGCGGCCGUCCUGGGUUCGAGUCCCGGACCCGCCG